rnacentral:rRNA from 1 species
UACGUAGGGGGCAAGCGUUGUCCGGAUUUAUUGGGCGUAAAGAGCGUGUAGGCGGCCAGAUAGGUCCGUUGUGAAAACUCGAGGCUCAACCUCGAGACGCCGAUGGAAACCAUUUGGCUAGAGCCCGGAAGAGGAGAGUGGAAAUUCCUGGUGUAGCGGUGAAAUGCGCAGAGUAUUAGGAAGAACACCCGUGGCUAAGGCGG